ensembl:lncRNA
CAAUCAUGACUAGGUCGGUUGGCAGGACUUCUAAAUACAUUACCACAAUCAUGACUAGGUCGGUUGGUGGAAAUAAAAGUACAAGGCUUAGUUACCGUUCAAAUAUUAAGAAAAGGCGGCAAAGUUGGCGCAUGGUAAAAUUGAUGGAAAAGCGUCUUGGUAUGAAAGGUAUCUUAGUGUGUUUGUGAGUGUGUGUGUGUGUGUGUCUGCGUGUUUAUCUUUGGCUUCGAGCUUUGGGAGUGUGUGUUAUUGUUUAGGUCAAUGCCAACACUGUGUAAGGGUAUGUGCAUUCUUUACAUUACGAGAAAACCCUGGAGCAUUUGAGCAGUAGAACACUCAAUUACACACUCUCCCUCUCUCUCUCUGUCUCUCUCUCUCUCUGUCUCUCUCUGUCUCUCUGUCUCUCUCUCUCUCUCUCUCUCUCUGUCUCUCUCUCUCUCUCUCUCUCUGUCUCUCUCUCUCUCUCUCUCUGUCUCUCU